GGCGGCGUGCCUAAUACAUGCAAGUAGAACGCUGAAGGAGGAGCUUGCUUCUCUGGAUGAGUUGCGAACGGGUGAGUAACGCGUAGGUAACCUGCCUGGUAGCGGGGGAUAACUAUUGGAAACGAUAGCUAAUACCGCAUAAUAGCAGUUAUUGCAUGAUAACUGUUUGAAAGGUGCAAUUGCACCACUACCAGAUGGACCUGCGUUGUAUUAGCUAGUUGGUGGGGUAACGGCUCACCAAGGCGACGAUACAUAGCCGACCUGAGAGGGUGAUCGGCCACACUGGGACUGAGACACGGCCCAGACUCCUACGGGAGGCAGCAGUAGGGAAUCUUCGGCAAUGGACGGAAGUCUGACCGAGCAACGCCGCGUGAAUGAAGAAGGUUUUCGGAUCGUAAAGCUCUGUUGUAAGAGAAGAACGAGUGUGAGAGUGGAAAGUUUCAACAACUGUGACGG
rnacentral:rRNA from 1 species